CCCUACGGGGGGCAGCAGUGGGGAAUUGUUCGCAAUGGGCGCAAGCCUGACGACGCAACGCCGCGUGGAGGAUGAAGACCUUCGGGUCGUAAACUCCUUUCGAUCGAGACGAAUGGCUUCCGGGUGAACAGCCCGGGGGAAUGACGGUACCGAGAGAAGAAGCCCCGGCUAACUCCGUGCCAGCAGCCGCGGUAAUACGGGGGGGGCAAGCGUUGUUCGGAAUUACUGGGCGUAAAGGGCUCGUAGGUGGCCAACUAAGUCAGACGUGAAAUCCCUCGGCUUAACCGGGGAACUGCGUCUGAUACUGGAUGGCUGGAGUUUGGGAGAGGGAUGCGGAAUUCCAGGUGUAGCGGUGAAAUGCGUAGAUAUCUGGAGGAACACCGGUGGCGAAGGCGGCAUCCUGGACCAACACUGACGCUGAGGAGCGAAAGCCAGGGGAGCAAACGGGAUUAGAUACCCCAGUAGUCGA
rnacentral:rRNA from 1 species